CUUAAUUUUCUUUUUCUCUCAUGGUAGGUGUUUACAUAGGUGUAACCUCUUCUGGAUUUUGGAAUUAUCAUGAAACUACAUGGUAUAACUUGACAAAUAAUAUCUUUUCCCAGCUUCAAGAAGGUAAUUCCUCCAACAGUGCCUUCAUCUUCAGCAUUUUACUUAUAUCAAUAUCAAUACUUGAUUGAUAUUUAUAAAAUGUCUUUCCUUUGGUAGGAGCUCACUUUUUUCUUACUUUUUAACCAAUGAUAUCAUUUCUUCUUUUAGAAUAUGCAUACCUUUCAGCGGUGGAUAUAGUUUUAACAAAUCAUUUUUUAGUUAUCCUCACAACUUUGGGUCUUUUUAUAAGUGAAGAUCUUCGUUAUCCAUCACCCCAAAUCUUAUUGCUUUCAAGGGCAGACUUUUGUGGUUUUGAAAGGGUUGACUAUGUCAAAGGAAAAUUAUGGUAUAAUGAAAGAUGUUUUGCUAACAGAGAACACUUUGAAGGUAAAUUUUAGUCAAAGAUAAUACUGUAUUAAAAGGCUUUUAUCAAUAUAGAAAACAUAUGUAGAUUUAACAAAAUGACAUAAAAUAAAAAUAGAAUAAAAUGUAAAG
rnacentral:lncRNA from 1 species